AUGAUUGCUAAGGUAAUAUCUAGUGAGCCUCAUGUGGAUACUAGCACUACUUCUAGUCAAAAUACUAUAUUGCCAUGUGCUAGUCCUUGUAAUUCAUCCACUCACAAUGUUGAUACAUCUUGUGAUGAAUUGCUUUCCUUGCCUUGUUUCUCUAACGAUGAAUCUUAUACUUCCUCUAGUACUUCUGUUGAGACUAACCAUGUAGAGGAAAUCAAAGAGCUCAAGACCCAAGUCACUUCUUUGAAGAAAGACUUGGAAAAGAGUCAUGAAGGGAAAUCCACACUCAACAGUAUCUUGAGUGUGCAAAAAUCCACCAAUGACAAAGGUGGACUUGGAUUCAACUCCAAUAAAAAGAAGUCCAAGAUGAACAAAAAGAAGGGCCAAGAACAAGUCAAGAAUUCGGCCAAGAUUGUUUGCUUCAAGUGCAAAGUAGAAGGGCAUCAUGUUAGAUCUUGCCCAUUGAAGAAGAAGCCCAUUAGUGACAAGCAACAAGGGAACCGGCCACAAGUACACUCUCAUGCUCAACCUCAAGUUGAAGAAAGGCCUCUUCCCAAGACAACUCAAGCUAAUGCUUCUCAUGUUGAGAAAUCAAGUGAGAAGAAAGUGAAGAGUAGACGUUUCUACCAAUGUCGUGAGAAAGGUCACCUCGCUUCUUCAUGCACUAGUGGUAACUUAUCCAACCCAAUUAUUAUUGAUGAUAUCUAUUCUCUUGGGAAGGAUAAGGUUGGCAAUGUGUUUGCCAAAGUUGUUGGUACUCAAAGUGGUGUCAAGAAAAGAACCAUUUGGGUAGCCAAGCCUAUUGUGACUAAUCUCUUAGGACCCAACUUGGUUGGGGACCAACAAGCUCAAACUUGA
rnacentral:rRNA from 1 species